CGCGCACCGAGUCUCCCCCUCCAACUCAUGUCAUUGGCGCCUCCGGGCACGUCGGCAUUGGGCAGUGAAUGGGGAGGAUAUUGACCCCCCGUGCCUUCAAAGCGCGGUCGGUCUAAACACAGGCCCUGGGAGGCCAGCGUCACGAUUUGUGGUGGUCGACACUCGUUGUCUCUCUUCAUUCCUGAAUCCGUGUCUGCUGUGCCUACCGUGAAGGACCACAAGGAACCCAUCGGGCCGUAACUACCGCAUCCACUCU
rnacentral:rRNA from 1 species